rnacentral:ncRNA from 1 species
AUGAAAACGAUGAAGAGGAUUAGUAAUCUUUGGUUAAGAUAACUCCAGAGAGCCGGGGGAGCUGAAAACCGGCGUUAUCACCAAGGAUGAACUCGCCUCCGAGUGCCUUUUCGAAAGCGGACAGCGAGUAGGAUUGGCCGGGUGCAUCCCAAUGCACUCGUUAGGAAAAGAACGGAUAUUCCGUUCAUGAGGUGAUCGAUUUGAUCACGAAGAAGGGUGGUACCGCGGGAAUUCAACCUUCUCGCCCCUUUG